AGUAUAUCUUUGGGGACUCUGUACAUU
rnacentral:sRNA from 1 species